rnacentral:rRNA from 1 species
UACGUAGGGGGCUAGCGUUGUCCGGAAUCAUUGGGCGUAAAGGGCUUGUAGGUGGCCAACUAAGUCAGACGUGAAAUCCCUCGGCUUAACCGGGGAACUGCGUCUGAUACUGGAUGGCUGGAGUGUGGGAGAGGGAUGCGGAAUUCCAGGUGUAGCGGUGAAAUGCGUAGAUAUUGGGAGGAACACCGGUGGCGAAGGCGGCCCCCUGGACCGGUACUGACGCUGAGGCGCGAAAGCGUGGGUAGCAAACGGG